rnacentral:lncRNA from 1 species
CGUUUCUUCCUUUCUCACCCAAGUUCCACUAAGACACGAACGGGAGCUAAUUUGCGGUGUCUUGCCCAUCCCAGAUCUCAGUUGGAGUUAUCUUCUUUGUUUUGCUAACUUAAACUGGAGGCCUGAACUUCCAAGGCAUGUGAGACGUUUGCCUGGGGAGCACGCAAAGGUUUAAUUGCAUCUCCGCAAUGCGUUCUGGCACCGCAGCCUGAAGCCAAUGCUUGUUUUUAACCGGCAACCUGCCUCCCAUGAACACGGCGAGCAGAGCGCCUCUCCGCUGAACAGCCAGACGAGGUAUUGAUGUCACAACAGUGGACACGCAGCGGGGAGCUGGGCUGUCAGCCUGUCACACACUGACAAAUCUGCUGUUCACAUUCAGGCGUGAGGCGCUGCUCAGUGGCCCUCAGUAGCAUCUCUACCAGGAGGGUGUGCAGGCUCCUGGGCCCCGCUGCGUGGACCAGACACUGUUAUUACAUCUUUCUCAAGGAGCCCGACUGAAUCACUCAUUUCAUGACAGGGACCUGCAAGGGAGACAACCCGGGCACGGACAGGCAAGCUGCUCUGCAGCAGUGGUCUUCGGCUUCGGCUCAGGCUUUAUCUCCGUCGGCCAUCCGUUUCUCUCCACAUCGCCCUUCUGCACGUGUACAGGGACAGCGAGACUCCAGGAUCCCAACUACGGAAUUCAGAGCAGACAGAGG